rnacentral:rRNA from 1 species
UACGGGGGGGGCAAGCGUUGUUCGGAAUUACUGGGCGUAAAGGGUUUGUAGGUGGCCGGCUAAGUCAGACGUGAAAUCCCUCAGCUUAACUGGGGAACUGCGUCUGAAACUGAUCGGCUCGAGUGCAGGAGAGGAACGCGGAAUUCCAGGUGUAGCGGUGAAAUGCGUAGAUAUCUGGAGGAACACCGGUGGCGAGGGCGGCGUUCUGGACUGCAACUGACACUGUAAAACGAAAGCCAGGGGAGCAAACGGG